rnacentral:rRNA from 1 species
GGAAGAAGCGGAGUGACGGUACCUACAAAAGAAGCACCGGCUAACUAUGUGCCAGCAGCCGCGGUAAUACAUAGGGUGCAAGCGUUGUCCGGAAUUAUUGGGCGUAAAGAGCUCGUAGGUCGUUUGUUACGUCGGAUGUGAAAACCUGAGGCUCAACCUCAGGCCUGCAUUCGAUACGGGCAAACUAGAGUUUGGUAGGGGAGACUGGAAUUCCUGGUGUAGCGGUGGAAUGCGCAGAUAUCAGGAGGAACACCAAUGGCGAAGGCAGGUCUCUGGGCCAAUACUGACACUGAGGAGCGAAAGUCUGGGGAGCGAACAGGAUUAGAUACCCUGGUAGUCCAGACCGUAAACGGUGGGCACUAGUUGUGGGAACCUUCCACGGUUUCUGCGACGCAGCUAACGCAUUAAGUGCCCCGCCUGGGGAGUACGAUCGCAAGAUUAAAACUCAAAUGAAUUGACGGG